UCUCUGAGUUGGCUCUGGCUGUUAGGAAAAAUUAAGCCUACAGAACUUCCUAGGAAGGGGAUUUGUAUCUACUGGAGGCUGUUGGUACUGAAAAUGCUCACAAUGUACUCAGUUAUACAUGCAUAAAGAGCAUAACAGGAAGAGAAGAACACUUGUUCUGCCUCUUGGUCCUCUUCACUUUUAAGUUUGGUAUCAGUUUUGGAACUGUGAAUGCAUCAGUCUCACCUCCCUGGAAUAAAGGACCUUAUGAAAGGAGUGGAAUGGGGAGUUUUUUGGCCAGAAGCCUGAAGCCCUCAUGCAGGGAGCACCAGGGAUUGUGGUAGUCUACUCC